rnacentral:lncRNA from 1 species
AUGGGCUCUGUUUACCACAGACCAUUCUGCUUCUUCCUCCUCCCCACCCCACUUCCUCUGCAUCUUCCUCUUCCGCCUUCUCCUUCUUCUUUCCUUGUUCUCCUUCUCUUUUCCCUUCUCCUCUUCCUCUUCUUCUUAAUUUUUAAUUUUUUCAUCUAUUUGUUGGUUGCAGAAACUUCUUUGGCACCUAUGCCAGAAGCCAGAAGUAUGCCACAAUGUAGACCAUAUUCAGAUGAGCAAGUUUAUUGCACCAGAGAAUGGGAUCCAAUCUGUGCGAACAAUGGAAAAACUUACGGAAAUACAUGUGCUUUCUGCAGGGAAAAGAAAAAAAAUGGUGACGAAUUUGAUUUUGUGCAUUUUGGUUACUGUUGAAUAUUGAUCACACUGUAGCUUUCAUUGUCAUCACAUUUUGUGAUACAUUCCACAGCUAUUUAGAAUAUUCUCAAUCAGAGCCUUCAAUUCAUAGGUGACCAGGUACAUCCUAUGAACAGAAGAUGAAAUACAGAGCAUUUAAACUUUUUUCCAACUCUACAUUCCUGUCAUUUCAGGAUUUUUAAUUCUCUGUGUUCAAUUAUUCAAUGAUAAUUUGAAAAACUAAUGUCUUAAUUGCAUGUUUGAUAGCAUAAAAAGCAGCAUAAUUAAAAAAAUAAAUGUUUAACUCAUUAAAAUGUUUAAUUGUUG